AUAAUUAAACUACAAAACUAAAAUCCAGAACUUAAGUAGAUGCAUCUUUAAUAGAAGAACAAUAAAGUAAAAUUAGCUUACAAAUUCUUAGGACUAUUUUUCUGAAAUGUCCUUAAUAUUUAAACUAAAAAACUAAAAUUCAGGACCUAAUUAGAUGCAUCUUUAAUAGAAGAACAAUUAACUAAAAUUAGCUUAAAAAUUCUUAGGACUAUUUUUCUAAAAUGUCCUUAAUAUUUAAACUAAAAAAUUAAAAUCUAGGACCUAAUUAGAUGCAUCUUUAAUAGAAGCACAAUUAACUAAACUUAGCUUACAAAUUCUUAGGACUAUUUUUCUGAAAUGUCCUUAAUAUUUAAACUAAAAAAUUAAAAUCAAGGACCUAAUUAGAUGCAUCUUUAAUAGAAGUACAAUUAACUAAAAUUAGCUUACAAAUUCGUAGGACUAUUUUUCUGAAAUGUCCUUAAUAUUUAAACUAAAAAACUAAAAUUCAGGACCUAAUUAGAUGCAUCUUUAAUAGAAGCACAGUUAACUAAAAUUCCUAAACAUAGUUAGCUUAUAAAUUUUUAGGACUAUUUUUCUGAAAUGUCCUUACAUAAUCAAUAUAUUGAUUGAACCACAAACACAUUUCAAUACCAAAAGGUUCUCAAUAACUUUCUCACAAAAAUCUGUACCUUAUUCCUCAGUGAAUCAAGUUAUAAUCAUUAUUUUGGAUAUUUCACACAUACUUGAUAACAAAUAUAGCAUUGAUCACGAUUAGAGAUAUACAAAAAGAAAAAUGCAUAAAAGCAAAAUCGAAAAUAUACCAGUACGUUGGUUCGUUGCAGAGAAGAUGACAA
rnacentral:lncRNA from 1 species